CUCCAUGCCGGGAAGAGCCGCCGCCACACGUCGAAACAACUGGGAAAAUGAAAUGCAAUAUGAGAAUCUGUAAACACCAUGGACCACCACCACGGCCACAGUGGAGUCACGGAUGUAACUGGGAAUGAGGCUCCUGAAACGCUCCUGUCCCGCUGUGUCCCAGAGCUGCAGCCUCACCUGGGGAAGAAGGACAGACAAUGCAAUGGACAAGUUCUGGCUCAUAACGUCUCGGGACACUAGUGAAUAUGCACACACAUGGAGAGCUCAACUACUUUCUCAUCAAAGCCCUGGCACCUCUACACAUCAAAGGAUAACGCCCAUCUCUACGAUGAGAACUUUGACCUGGAGGCUCUGAUCUGCCCCACACCCACAGGAGGCAUUCAAGAUCCAAAGGAGACCCACAUCAGGACUCCUCAAACCCUGAGGAAAGAAAUCUAGUCCAGGAAUUUACAGCUCUGGUCAGGGCGCUGCACAAAGAGUUGGAGUGGACAAAGGCCAAGCUUCAGGGUCCAAAGAAGCUUUGUUUUGGACUGCCAGCUUAAGGCUGAGGAGAAGAUGGGCAAAGAAAAGGCCUUGGACUUGGACUGCUACUUCUCAGAAGAAGGACAAAGAACUCCAAGACCUAAACGUACUGCACAUAAGUUGCUCUGGUACCUGUAGGAUUAUACAGUCAUGGAAUAGUUAAACAAAAAAGACUUUGACUUGCAAAAACUCACUGAUACUCUUUGGGAGAAGACAAGCAACUACAAGGAGAGGUUAGUGCACAUAAGGAGCCCUGGUACCUGUAUAAUUCAAAAGUACAGAAAAAUGUGCAACUAAAACAACAGCUUGCCAACUCCAAAAUAGUCAUGGAAAGACUAAAGGAAAAGACAUGGAGUUGAAAGAGCUCAAAGCCACUCUCUUGAAGAAAGAGAAAGAGCUGGAAAAACCAAGUUAGUGCAUACAAGGAGAUAAGAUAUAUAUCUGGAUAAUAAUACAGUGAGAGACAUAGCUCCAACAAGAGCUGGCCAGUUAUUUAUAGAGUUUUUGUUUUAUAUAAAAAAAUUAAAUACUGCAAUAAAAUAGUUUGCACUACAACUUAUAGUUAUCUAAUAUCUUCAUCUCAUAUCACGUGGCCCUUAAAGAAUGUCAGACAAAACAUUGUAUUCAAGUACUUUAUAACUUCAACCCCGCUCUAUCUGACUUUGAGACCCCUGAUAUAGAUGAUCAAAUGUUCUCUGCAAAGAACAACAUUUUCAGUUUUUGUGUAGAAAUGUUUUAAAUGUAGUUUAGACCUCUACAAACAUCUUCUGAAAUGCAUGAGACUCUUGGAUAAGUUUAUCAAUUCAUAUUUCAGUUUUCUCUCAAAUGGUAAUGCUCCUGGACUUCUUUUCAAUGUAGUGUAAUCUUAUUUUUAAAUCUUACUUUUGAAGCAUAAGUGUCAAAUCUAAUCACAAUUGCAAUACUUUCAACUUUUAAUUCAACUUUUUACCAAAAUCCUGCAGCUCUAUACCAAAGGAAACAAAUUUACCAUCCCAUUCCAAACCACUGACUUAUAUCACUUAGAAUAGAUUAUCCAAGCGAUUUUACAACAUACACAUACAACACAGUUAUCCCAUCCAUCAGCCAUAAACCAGAUGCCCUGUGCUAUUGCUCGGAGCGGGACCCUGUGAUGACACCUCCAAGGUCAGGGUGCUGGGGGCCCCUCAUGAUAAAGAGCUCUGAGACAGCUUUGAUUAUUACACAGAUCACAGACUGCAAAUCUAACUUAUGU